UAAUCUAUCUGAACUAUACCAGUUUGUAGCGUGGGAAUAUGUUAUACUCAGUUUUGAGGGUGUACCACGGUAACUAAUGAUUCACAGCUGCUUUCCUCCAGGGUGAACCCUCACUUUGCUGGUUGGCUUUCAGCCGUGGAUUAGCAACUGGUUCAUGUUCUGAAAUUUUUAUACUAACCAUCCUCAGUCUGUAGUAUUUGAAAUCAAUCUUUCAGUUUGUUCUGAAAUUUUUAUACUAACCAUCCUCAGUCUGUAGUAUUUGAAAUCAAUCUUUCAGUUUGUUCUGAAAUUUUAUGCAGAAUAUAACCAAUGCCAGUAUUUUGGAAUGAGCGCAGAAUUGAUCCGUCACUUCUGAAGAAACUCCGUUACUUAGCAGAAGCAGAGGCCACAACCUGGCAGCGGCUGGUCACUUCAGCGGUCUCCAAUUGCCUUUGAAUACGCCAAUGGUAAUUUCAAAAAUCUCCAAGUAGUCCACUAAUUUUAUUACUUACAUUUUUUUUCAUCUAAAGCAAAAUUGAAAACAUAUGUUUCCUUGUAAUUCUAAAUUUGACUGCACAUAUUUUGAUUUUUGAUGAGUACUGCUCGAUAGAUUCAAAACGGCCAUGAGUUUUUUUUUUGAGUUGAAGUGGCAAGAGCAUUGCCGAAUAUAUUAGACGAAUAGAGUUCACCCUGUUUAUAAGGAAAACCGGGCCCAAAAAACAUACAACUGCCCGGUUUGCUAAAGUGAAACCAGCGAAAACCUUACACAGAAGACACAAAAAGCCUGAGACAAGACAACUACGAACUGUCGGAGGCCGAGGGAUGAGCAAGACCGUAAGAUGAAAUCUCCAAGGAGGUGAAUAACGACAUAAGCCGCUGUCGACGUCCGUCCAAAAACUGGGCUGGUUUUCACCCAGGGGGGAGGGAGUCCACAAGGCAACACCUCCAGGGAGGAAACGGCACCCGUGGGCGUCGAUAUUGCCAAUCCUAGAACAGGCAGGGCAUGAGGUUUUUGGGAACUAGCAAUUAUUGAUUUUGAUUGUUGAUGAUGAAGAGUUCUGACUAUCUACAUGGGUUAGUUUCUUGUUCAACAAAUUCAGGAAAUAGUUUCAGCUCAUCAGAAGUUUGCAUCGAUGUCAUCCCUUCUAGCCAUCUUCUGUGCAUUUGCUUGGAACAUUUGGUUCUGCACUACCGUUGACUAUAAAAUACAGCUCAACAGAGCUUUAUUUUCUCACAUUUCUCAUAACAAGUUGGAUAUGGAAAACCAUCAACUCUGAAUAGGAGAUAGCGAGCUUUGGAAUGAUUCUGAGGUAGCUCCAUUUUUUAUCUUGUCUGAACUUUGGCUGUGAGCUCAAAUGAUUAAAUCAGUAUCUUUUUCAUUUUUUUCAGCCACUGAAUACUUUUUAAUAGUUUUCUAUUAUUCUAUGGAUAAUGCUUGUGUGCAUGCUUAUGAUGGAUUGCUAAUUGUUUUACACGUG
rnacentral:lncRNA from 1 species